UUUUUUUUUCGUUUUGGGCCUAAUACCCUAGAGUAAUAAACUGGGUGUUUCUUGCGGUUACAAUUCCUUUUUGUAUAGUCGCAACAGCAACACAGACGCAUCUACAUACGUACACACACGCACACAUAAGCGCCAUCGCACAUACCGCGCUUUGAAAGGCGCUCUAAAAACAAAACCCAAGAUGCUCAAGAUAGAUAGAUACACAGAUACAUA
rnacentral:lncRNA from 1 species